rnacentral:misc_RNA from 1 species
GAUGAAGAACGUAGCGAAAUGCGAUAAGUAGUGUGAAUUGCAGAAUUCAGUGAAUCAUCGAAUCUUUGAACGCACAUUGCGCCCCUUGGUAUCCCGAGGGGCAUGCCUGUUCGAGCGUCAUUUCACCACUCAAGCCUGGCUUGGUGUUGGGCGACGUCCUCUUCGGGGACGCGCCUCGAAACGCUCGGCGGCGUGGCACCGGCUUUAAGCGUAGCAGAAUCUUUCGCUUUGGAAGUCGGGGCCCCGUCUGCCGGAAGACCUGCUCGCAAGGUUGACCUCGGAUCAGGCAGGGAUACCCGCUGAACUUAAGCAUAUCAAUAAGCGGAGGA